rnacentral:lncRNA from 10 species
GGAGGUUCCAGUCUGAAUUCAGAGUCAAUGAUAAGGGAGGCUUCCGUGGCAGAGUGAAAAGCACACACCUGAGAAAUGAAAAGAAAUGGCAAAGGUCACACGUCUCAGGAUGAAUUGCACUGUGUGUGACACCCUAGCUGAAAUCCUAUCCCACAGGACCAUCAGGUCCACGAGAGAAGAGGUGUGCUCAGGAGGGCUGACUGGAAGUCUGAAGACAGCAUGGCAUACAACCAAUGGGUGGAGAGCAGGAGCCAGAGAUGACAUAUGGGAUGAGGCCUUCAUUAAAGUCCAUGGGUAUUAUCCAUCAGGCUUUCCUGUAGGGAUUGUGGAUUGGUCAAUUUAAAGAAAACACUUGUGAACAGGAGUACUUAUCUACAUGAUUCUGACAUUGAUCAUUGAGUUUUAUCAUGGACAGUAGCUGUGGGAUUUUAGGCUAGUGAGAUAGGAAUAAGCAGGCCAUAUUGCAAACAACAACAGG